GACGAACGCUGGCGGCGUGCUUAACACAUGCAAGUCGAACGGUGAAGGGACCAGCUUGCUGGUUCUGGAUGAGUGGCGAACGGGUGAGUAACACGUGAGUAACCUGCCCCCUUCUUCUGGAUAACCGCAUGAAAGUGUGGCUAAUACGGGAUAUUCUGGGUCUGUCGCAUGGCGGGCCCGGGAAAGAUAUUGCUUCGGUGGGGGAUGGGCUCGCGGCCUAUCAGCUUGUUGGUGGGGUGAUGGCCUACCAAGGCGGUGACGGGUAGCCGGCCUGAGAGGGUGGACGGUCACACUGGGACUGAGACACGGCCCAGACUCCUACGGGAGGCAGCAGUGGUGAAUAUUGCACAAUGGGCGCAAGCCUGAUGCAGCGACGCCGCGUGAGGGAUGGAGGCCUUCGGGUUGUAAACCUCUUUCGCCAGUGAAGCAGGCCUGCUCCUUGUGGGUGGGUUGACGGUAGCUGGAUAAGAAGCGCCGGCUAACUACGUG
rnacentral:rRNA from 1 species